GGCAAGCGUUGUUCGGAAUUACUGGGCGUAAAGGGCUCGUAGGUGGCCAACUAAGUCAGACGUGAAAUCCCUCGGCUUAACCGGGGAACUGCGUCUGAUACUGGAUGGCUUGAGUUUGGGAGAGGGACGCGGAAUUCCAGGUGUAGCGGUGAAAUGCGUAGAUAUCUGGAGGAACACCGGUGGCGAAGGCGGCGGCCUGGACCAACACUGACACUGAGGAGCGAAAGCCAGGGGAGCAAACGGG
rnacentral:rRNA from 1 species